AUAUAUAUAUAUAUAUAUAUAUAUCGCAUACAUUCUUAUAACCUAUUUAACUUAAUUUCUCACAACUGAUAAGUUCAAAUUUCCUUCUUGUGAAAAUGUUUUGGUUGAGAUUAUUUUGGGGUGCAGAGGGGUAAAUAAAAAUAAUGUGCAAUGCAGGAAUACACACAAUUCAUCUUUAAGAAGCAAAGAGAGAAAAUGUGCUGGUCAACGUUUUAAAGAUUACAGAUGAACAGAGAGGCCCUAUGUCAAGGUGACAUACUGUCAUGAAUUCAUUGCACUGGCACAACGACAAUGCAUACCACUGGCAUUACAGCACGUGAGGAUAGGAAGCCUCAGUUCAAGAACAGCCCUGAAGCCACUGGAGCUGAAUGGAACCCACUGAGUUAAGAGGUUUCACUGAGGCCUGUUCAGUCAGAGAUUCAAAAAGGAAGGUUGAAGGUGAAUGGUCACUUGGAUGAAAGAUCUGUGGCCUUGUCCAGAGUGAAACCAAGUGAAUCUGUCCAUAUUUAUGCAGUCUUUAUCAACAGUCAUUCAAAAACGUGUUUAUUCUUAAUGGAACAAAGCCUAAGCUUUUGUGGAGGACAGUCAACAAGAAAUCGGGUACUGCAGGCUCCCUUUUCAUGAGGGAGGUCUGCAGUUACAAGUCCUCACAGUGCAAUGGUAGAAAGCUCCACUGCUGUCACUGUUCUACUGGUGGUCCUCUGUAUGUAAAGAAGCCACAAACAAGGCAUUCCGGGGGCAGGUUGGGGAAGGCCAUGGAUUUGCAGGAUCCAGAGCCUUAAUAUUCCUUGGACAUGUCUCUCCCCUCCCCCUGCACACCAUACGCCAGUCCAAAGCUGGUGUAUGCAUUUCGCUCCUACUGUGGUCAAUGGAAGAUAAAAUGUAAACGGAAUACAAACGCAGGUCAAAAAGUUGCCUCACCCUAUCCAACGCAAUACAGCUAGGUUCUCCCUGCAGCAGUGGCUGUGCCACAGCUCUCUCCUCAUUCAGGAAGGUAGGAGUACUCUGUAAAUCAAGGUAACAUAUUGGUAAUGACCUUAAACCCCCCCCCC